AGAAACUGCGCCUCCCGUUCAUUAUAAUGGUAAAUGACCACAAACAAGUGCGCACACCAUCUUUGGACCUUGAGUGUGACGCGAUCGGGUGGGGGAGGCGGUCGCGCUGGGGGCGGCGUGACACGGCUCGGGCCCGCCAGUGCCCCAACGGGGCCCUAGUGUUAUUAUUAUUAGGGCCCGAGCGUAGCUGCUAAGCAGCUGCGAGAGCCCUAUUAUUCCCCAAGUGGUUUUUCUUUGUUUCUUUCUUUCUUCUUUUUCCUCCCCUUUGAACUGGAAAAUGGCCCACUUCCCACUGGCGAAAACUCAUGAAAUUUGGCAGGACGACCGGGCCUGGUGAAAAAUUUGAUAUUCCGAAGUCGCCCAAACAAGAAAAUGCAAAAUGGCUCCAUAGCGCCCCCUAAGGUGAAAAUUCACACUAUUGACUGUCACGCCUUUACGCUUUGUCAAAAUGACACAAAAAUUGACACACACAUGUAUCUCAAUAAGAUCUACAAAAAAGUCAGUGCGGGCGUAUCUGUCAAAUGUACGGUUAAAGGGUUAUUCCGCAUUUUUUGCCGAUGCGCACACAUUGGAAUUUUGCUAACUCCUCCGAAGGCUUUCUUUCCACCGGCACCACAUUUGCUCAGGCCAAUCUACACCCCAUGGCCAUUAAAAGUUAUUCAAAUCAUGACGCUGCACCCCACGGUUUAGGUUCUAGGGGGCGCCAAAGAUAACCCUAAAAUCCACAUAUUUAAAAGUCUUAUAACUUUUUAUUUUUGCCCUCACUGGCCUCCAUGUUUUCUAGGAUGAUGCAAUGUCUAGCCAUCAACACAUUUGUGAAGGAAUUUUUACUCCCCAAAAGAGCGCCCCCCCAUGGCAGGAGAAAAAAGUCCAUUUUUUCUUGUCCCCUAAGGUGAAAAUACACAUUGUUGAGUGUCACGCCUGUACGCUUUGUCAUAUUGACACAAAAUUUGACACACACAUGUAUCUCAAUAAGAUCUACGAAAAAGUCAAAGCACGCGUAUCUGUCAAAUGUACGGUUAAAGGGUUAUUCCGCAUUUUUUGCCGAUCCGCACACAUUGGAAUUUCGCUAACUCCUCCUAAGGCUGGCGUUCCACCGGCACCACAUUUGCUCAGGCCAAUCUACACCCCAUGGCCAUUAAAAGUUAUUCAAAUCAUGACGCUGCACCCCACGGUUUAGGUUCUAGGGGGCGCCAAAUAUAACCCUAAAAUCCACAUAUUUCAAAAUCUUAUAACUUUUUAUUUUUGUCCUCACUGGCCUCCAAGUUUUCUAGGAUGAUGCAAUGUCCAGCCAUCAACACAUUUGUGAAGGAAUUUUUACUCCCCAAAAGAGCGCCCCCCAUGGCAGGAGAAAAAAGUCCAUUUUUUCUUGUCCCCUAAGGUGAAAAUUCACAUUGUUGAGUGUGACACCUGUACGCUUUGUCAUAUUGACACAAAAUUUGACAAUCACGUGUAUCUCAAUAAGAUCUACGAAAAAGUCAAUGCGCGCGUAUCUGUCAAAUGUACGGUUAAAGGGCUAUUUUGCAUUUUUUGCCGAUUCGCACACAUUGGAAUGUGGCUAACUCCUCCUAAGGCUUUCGUCCCACUGACACCAAAUUUGCUCAGGCCAAUCUACACCCCAUGGCCAUUCAAAGUUGUAAAAAUCAUGACGCUGCACCCCACGGUUUACGUUCUAGGGGGCGCCAAAGAUGACCCAAAUAUCCACAUUCUUAAAAGAAUCCACAUCCCCCCCCGCCCCCCCCCCCCCCCCCCCCCCCAUCCCCCAUACCCCAUUCCCCAUGGCAGGAGAAACAGUCAAGUUUUUCCUGCCCAUCACUCAAUGGCUCAAUCGCAUCGCUCUCCCGGCAACACCGUAACGAGGAGCAACUUGCCGUUUGGAUAUAUCCUAGCUGUGUUUGUGACCUCACUCAUGGUCCAGACUUUUUUCAAAUAGGACAUGUAGUUUGUCUGCAGCGAGUGUUUUGGUAGAAACUGCGCCUCCCAUUCAUUAUAAUGGGAAAUGACCACAGACAAGUGCGCACACCAUCUUUGGACCUUGAGUGUGACGCGAUCGGGAGGGGGAGGUGGUCGCGCUGGGGGCGGCGCGACGCGGCUCGGGCCCGACAGUGCCCCACCGGGGCCCUAGUUAUUUUUCCUCCCCUUUGAACUGGAAAAUGGCCCACUUCCCACUGGCGAAAACUCAUGAAAUUUGGCAGGACGACCGGGCCUGGUGAAAAAUUUGAUAUUCCGAAGUCGCCCAAUCAAGAAAAUGCAAAAUGGCUCCAUAGCGCCCCCUAAGGUGAAAAUUCACACUAUUGACUGUCACGCCUGUAUGCUUUGUCAAAAUGACACAAAAAUUGACACACACAUGUAUCUCAAUAAGAUCUACAAAAAAGUCAGUGCGGGCGUAUCUGUCAAAUGUACGGUUAAAGGGUUAUUUCGCAUUUUUUGCCGAUCCGCACACAUUGGAAUUUCGCUAACUCCUCCGAAGGCUUUCGUUCCACCAGCACCACAUUUGCUCAGGCCAAUCUACACCCCAUGGCCAUUAAAAGUUAUUCAAAUCAUGACGCUGCACCCCACGGUUUAGGUUCUAGGGGGCGCCAAAGAUAACACUAAAAUCCACAUAUUUAAAAGUCUUAUAACUUUUUAUUUUUGUCCCCACUGGCCUCCAAGUUUUCUAGGAUGAUGCAAUGUCCAGCCAUCAACACAUUUGUGAAGGAAUUUUUACUCCCCAAAAGAGCGCCCCCCCAUGGCAGGAGAAAAAAGUCCAUUUUUUCUUGUCCCCUAAGGUGAAAAUACACAUUGUUGAGUGUCACGCCUAUACGCUUUGUCAAAAUGACACAAAAAUUGACACACACAUGUAACUCAAUAAGAUCUACAAAAAAGUCCAUGCGCGCGUAUCUGUCAAAUGUACAGUUAAAGGGUUAUUCCGCAUUUUUUGCCGAUACGCACACAUUGGAAUUUCGCUAACUCCUCCGAAGGCUUUCGUUCCACCGGCACCACAUUUGCUCAGGCCAAUCUACACCCCAUGGCCAUUAAAAGUUAUUCAAAUCAUGAUGCUGCACCCCAUGGUUUAGGUUCUAGGGGGCGCCAAAAAUAACCCAAAAAUCCACAUUCUUAAAUGUUUUAUAACUUUUUAUUUUUGUCCUCACUGGCCUCCAAGUUUUCUAGGAUGAUGCAAUGUCCAGCCAUCAACACAUUUGUGAAGGAAUUUUUACUCCCCAAAAGAGCGCCCCCCCAUGGUAGGAGAAAAAAGUCAAUUUUUUCUUGUCCCCUUACAUGAAAAUACACAUUGUUGAGUGUCACGCCUGAACGCUUUGUCAUAUUGACAAAAAAAUUGACAAUCAUGUGUAUCUCAAUUAGAUCUACGAAAAAGUCAAAGAGCGCGUAUCUUUAUAAUGUACGGUUAAAGGGCUAUUUUGCAUUUUUUGCCGAUUCGCACACAUUGGAAUGUGGCUAUCUCCUCCUAAGGCUUUCGUCCCACCGAUACCAAGUUUGCUCAGGGCAAUCUACACCCCAUGCCCAUUCAAAGUUGUAAAAAUCAUGACGCUGCACCCCACGGUUUACGUUCUAGUGGGCGCCAAAGAUGACCCACAAAUCCACAUUCUUAAAAGUCAUUUUGGCCACUGCAGGAGUACAGAGUACUGCAGUUCUAGGGGGCGCCAAAGAUGACCCAAAAAUCCACAUUCUUAAAAGUCUUUUUGGCCACUGCAGGAGUACAGAGUACUGCAGGAUACACACACAUAUACACACACGCCAACAUACACACACACACACACACACACACACACACACACACACACACACACACAGAGUCUGUUUUUUAGCACCUGCAAAAACAUGCUGUUUACAUAUUUGACAAGAAUGCAGAGGCUUCCUUUUGCCCCUGAAAAAAUCAAAUUUCAAACACAACUUGACUGUUCAUUUCUCCAAAAGACAACCAUGAAGUUCCAUUUCAAACCUGAAGCAGAUAGUUGGUGCAUGUGUACAGUAACCUGAGGGGAGUGAGGUGACUAUUUCUGAGGAGAACAUGAGCAGUGAAGAUUCACCUUGGAGCUAGAACAGGGACGUGCACAUGAUUAUACAGGGGCAGGGGCUCAAGUUUUUUCGAGUCAUUUAUACAAUAUGGAAAUUAAUGUGAAAUUAAACCACAAAUAUGUGUGAUGAACUGUUUUUAAAACUUAAACUUCAAAUAAAAAUUGUAAACUUCAAAACAUAUGCAAAUUUUUAACAAAGAACAUAGUGAUUUACCUCUAUUUACAUCAAAAUGCAGGCAAUGGCCCAGGCGUUCUUUGUAAAAUUAUUUACAAAACACUGUAUAGUCUCACAAAUGUCACUUUUUAUUUAUGCCACUACAAAAAAACAUGAUGUAAAUGAUGCAUGAUGUAAAACAUGAUGUAACAAACUUGUGUAGAUCCUCCUCUAUGUCAGUCCAUGUGUAAUUUUUCCAUAAUUCUUUGUUUUUUGCAGCAUUUUUGUUAGUGUAACUGCAGAUUGUGCUGACAGUGUCUAUGGCACAAAAAAAAAUAAAUAAAAUGCCUCAACAUGAACCCCUGGUGGUCUCUGAGGGUGAAACCUGCUAACUGCUGCAGCUCUGUCAGCUUCAGUCUCCCAUGCAGAGCUCUGAGCGCAUGUGUGGCUCUGCACCCUUAGCAGCGUUGCUAACUCCUCAGUAAGGAAAGCCUGCUUCAUGUCAGAGUCUCUAAACUCCAGAAGAAGUCGAUAAAAGUCCCUUUCUUUCUAAAAAAAAGUCGUUAGGGGGUCUGAAAAGUCAUUGAAUCUAACAACAAAGUCGCUAGGUUUGCAACUACGUGUCCCAGACUGCAUCCCUGCUGAGAGUCCCUCCCUCCCUUCUCAUGUUGCAGGAAGAACGUAAGCGCCCGCCCCUUGUCAAUCAGUCACCAUAUAAUUUUGGAUUGGUUGUUGUGGUGAAGUUUCCCACCAAUAGGAGAGAUGUUGUGGUGUGUUUUUUUUUUCUUUUGGCAAGCCUUUUCCGCCUGUAAGACCUGUCGCUAAUGUCUGCAUGCUAUGUUUUCCUGUCUCAUACAGCGCGAUCGAGCGCCGAACGUGAUCAAAAUAAGCAGAAAAAAAGUAUCGCGGACAUAAUUUAUCAUAACUCUGGUUUUAUUUGGCCUAUCAACACAAUUUAAAAACAGGUAUAUAGGUUGAGGUCCUCACUUUUGAGAUAAGUUGAAACGGAGAGUCAACGAGGCUCCGUCUUGCAGCUACAUCCGGUUAAAUAUGUCAUGUGACUUGAACGCACACACAGACACACACACACGCACACACACACACACACACACACUCAGAGUCUGGUUUUUAGCACCUGCAAAAACAUGCUAUUUACAUAUUUGACAAGAAUGCAGAGGCUCCUUUUGCCCCUGAAAAAAAAAUCAAAUUUCAAACACAACUUGACUGGUCAUUUCUCCAAAAGACAACCAUGAAGCUCCAUCCAAACCUGAAGCAGGCAGUUGGUGCAUGUGUACAGUAACCUGAGGGGAGUGAGGUGAGUGCUUCUGAGGAGAACAUGAGCAGUGAAGAUUCACCUUGGAGCUAGAACAGAGACAUGCACAUGAUUAUACAGGGGCAGGGGCUCAAGUUUUUUCCAGUCGUUUAUACAAUAUGGAAAUUAAUGUGAAAUUAAAACACAAAGUAUUAAUAGAAAGGUAAUGACUGUCCUGUGUAGGUGACAGUGAUAUCCAAUAGGCUAGGCACUCACGAGGCUGGCUGUGGCAAGUGUAAGUGAAAGCAACACGCACUGGCAGGAAGAACAGCAAACGCCGAUGAAGGAAAAGGGUCUUUGCAGUGAUGGGCGUUAACAGAGAGGGCGAUGGCCAGAGGACACAAAUGGGACGGGGAGGCAGCACGUUGGGGGGGGGGGGGGGAGACGCGACACGGCUCGGGCCCGCCAGUGCCCCAACGGGGUCCUAGUUUCUUUUUCCUCCCCUUUGAACUGGAAAAUGGCCCACUUCCCACUGGCGAAAACUCAUGAAAUUUGGCAGGACGACCGGGCCUGGUGAAAAAUUUGAUAUUCUGAAGUCGCCAAAACAAUAAAAUGCAAAAUGGCUCCAUAGCGCCCCCUAAGGUGAAAAUUCACACUAUUCACUGUCACGACUGUACGCUUUGUCAAAAUGACACAAAAAUUGACACACACAUGUAUCUCAAUAAGAUCUACAAAAAAGUCAGUGCGGCCGUAUCUGUCAAAAUUACGGUUAAAGGGUUAUUUCGCAUUUUUUGCCGAUCUGCACACAUUGGAAUUUCGCUAACUCCUCCGAAGGCUUUCGUUCCACCGGCACCACAUUUGCUCAGGCCAAUCUACACCCCGUGGCCAUUAAAAGUUAUCAAAAUCAUGACGCUGCACCCCAAGGUUUAGGUUCUAGGGGGCGCCAAAGAUAACACUAAAAUCCACAUAUUUAAAAGUCUUAUAACUUUUUAUUUUUGUCCUCACUGGCCUCCAAGUUUUCUAGGAUGAUGCAAUGUCCAGCCAUCAACACAUUUGUGAAGGAAUUUUUACUCCCCAAAAGAGCGCCCCCCCAUGGCAGGAGAAAAAAGUCCAUUUUUUCUUGUCCCCUAAGGUGAAAAUACACAUUGUUGAGUGUCACGCCUAUACGCUUUGUCAAAAUGACACAAAAAUUGACACACACAUGUAACUCAAUAAGAUCUACGAAAAAGUCAAUGCGCGCGUAUCUGUCAAAUGUACGGUUAAAGGGUUAUUCCGCAUUUUUUGCCGAUCCGCACACAUUGGAAUGUGGCUAACUCCUCCUAAGGCUUUCGUUCCACCGGCACCACAUUUUCUCAGGCCAAUCUACACCCCAUGGCCAUUAAAAUUUAUCAAAAUCAUGACGCUGCACCCCACGGUUUAGGUUCUAGGGGGCGCCAAAGAUAACCCUAAAAUCCACAUAUUUAAAAGUCUUAUAACUUUUUAUUUUUGUCCUCACUGGCCUGCAAGUUUUCUAGGAUGAUGCAAUGUCCAGCCAUCAACACAUUUGUGAAGGAAUUUUUACUCCCCAAAAGAGCGCCCCCCCAUGGCAGGAGAAAAAAGUCCAUUUUUUCUUGUCCCCUAAGGUGAAAAUACAUAUUGUUGAGAUUCACGCCUAUACGCUUUGUCAUAUUGACACAAAAUUUGACAAUCACGUGCCUUGCCUGGUAUCAUUUUUUUCAGCACAACCUCACCUGUGCGAAUUUACAGUUAUUUUAUCAUGUUGACAUACUGAAUUUACACAAUGGACCCAAAUUCACACACAAAACAUAAAAUCCGAGUGGAAAAAAGUAACAUUUUUACUGUGAAAACCACAAAUAUGUGUGAUGAACUGUUUUUAAAACUUAAACUUCAAAUAAAAAUUGUAAACUUCAAAACAUAUGCAAAUUUUUAACAAAGAACAUAGUGAUUUACCUCUAUUUACAUCAAAAUGCAGGCAAUGGCCCAGGCGUUCUUUGUAAAAUUAUUUACAAAACACUGUAUAGUCUCACAAAUGUCACUUUUUAUUUAUGCCACUACAAAAAAACAUGAUGUAAAUGAUGCAUGAUGUAAAACAUGAUGUAAAAAACUUGUGUAGAUCCUCCUGUAUGUCAGUCCAUGUGUAAUUUUUCCAUAAUUCUUUGUUUUUUGCAGCAUUUUUGUUAGUGUAACUGCAGAUUGUGCUGACAGUGUCUAUGGCACAAAAAAAAAAAAAAUUAAAAUGCCUCAACAUGAACCCCUGGUGGUCUCUGAGGGUGAAACCUGCUAACUGCUGCAGCUCUGUCAGCUUCAGUCUCCCAUGCAGAGCUCUGAGCGCAUGUGUGGCUCUGCACCCUUAGCAGCGUUGCUAACUCCUCAGUAAGGAAAGCCUGCUUCAUGUCAGAGUCUCUAAACUCCAGAAGAAGUCGAUAAAAGUCCCUUUCUUUCUAAAAAAAAGUCGUUAGGGGGUCUGAAAAGUCAUUGAAUCUAACAACAAAGUCGCUAGGUUUGCAACUACGUGUCCCAGACUGCAUCCCUGCUGAGAGUCCCUCCCUCCCUUCUCAUGUUGCAGGAAGAACGUAAGCGCCCGCCCCUUGUCAAUCAGUCACCAUAUAAUUUUGGAUUGGUUGUUGUGGUGAAGUUUUCCACCAAUAGGAGAGAUGUUGUGGUGUGUUUUUUUUUUCUUUUGGCAAGCCUUUUCCGCCUGUAAGAGCUGUCGCUAAUGUCUGCAUGCUAUGUUUUCCUGUCUCAUACAGCGCGAUCGAGUGCCGAACGUGAUCAAAAUAAGCAGAAAAAAAGUAUCGCGGACAUAAUUUAUCAUAACUCUGGUUUUAUUUGGCCUAUCAACACAAUUUAAAAACUGGUAUAUAGGUUGAGGUCCUCACUUUUGAGAUAAGUUGAAACGGAGAGUCAACGAGGCUCCGUCUUGCAGCUACAUCCGGUUAAAUAUGUCAUGUGACUUGAACGCACACACAGACACACACACGCACACACACACACACACACACACACACACUCAGAGUCUGGUUUUUAGCACCUGCAAAAACAUGCUAUUUACAUAUUUGACAAGAAUGCAGAGGCUCCUUUUGCCCCUGAAAAAAAUCAAAUUUCAAACACAACUUGACUGGUCAUUUCUCCAAAAGACAACGAUGAAGCUCCAUCCAAACCUGAAGCAGGCAGUUGGUGCAUGUGUACAGUAACCUGAGGGGAGUGAGGUGAGUGCUUCUGAGGAGAACAUGAGCAGUGAAGAUUCACCUUGGAGCUAGAACAGAGACAUGCACAUGAUUAUACAGGGGCAGGGGCUCAAGUUUUUUCCAGUCGUUUAUACAAUAUGGAAAUUAAUGUGAAAUUAAAACACAAAGUAUUAAUAGAAAGGUAAUGACUGUCCUGUGUAGGUGACAGUGAUAUCCAAUAGGCUAGGCACUCACGAGGCUGGCUGUGGCAAGUGUAAGUGAAAGCAACACGCACUGGCAGGAAGAACAGCAAACGCCGAUGAAGGAAAAGGGUCUUUGCAGUGAUGGGCGUUACCAGAGAGGGCGAUGGCCAGAGGACACAAAUGGGACGGGGAGGCAGCACGUUGGGGGGGGACGCGACACGGCUCGGGCCCGCCAGUGCCCCAACGGGGUCCUAGUUAUUUUUCCUCCCCUUUGAACUGGAAAAUGGCCCACUUCCCACUGGCGAAAACUCAUGAAAUUUGGCCGGACGACCGGGCCUGGUGAAAAAUUUGAUAUUCCGAAGUCGCCCAAACAAGAAAAUGCAAAAUGGCUCCAUAGCGCCCCCUAAGGUGAAAAUUCACACUAUUGACUGUCACGCCUGUACGCUUUGUCAAAAUGACGCAAAAAUUGACACACACAUGUAUCUCAAUAAGAUCUACAAAAAAGUCAGUGCGGGCGUAUCUGUCAAAUGUACGGUUAAAGGGUUAUUCCGCAUUUUUUGCCGAUGUGCACACAUUGGAAUUUCGCUAACUCCUCCGAAGGCUUUCGUUCCACCGCCACCACAUUUGCUCAGGCCAAUCUACACCCCAUGGCCAUUAAUAGUUAUUCAAAUCAUGACGCUGCACCCCACGGUUUAGGUUCUAGGGGGCGCCAAAGAUAACCCUAAGAUCCACAUAUUUAAAAGUCUUAUAACUUUUUUUUUUUGCCCUCACUGGCCUCCAAGUUUUCUAGGAUGAUGCAAUGUCCAGCCAUCAACACAUUUGUGAAGGAAUUUUUACUCCCCAAAAGAGCGCCCCCCCAUGGCAGGAGAAAAAAGUCCAUUUUUUCUUGUCCCCUAAGGUGAAAAUACAAAUUGUUGAGUGUAACACCUGUACGCUUUGGCAAAAUGACACAAAAAUUGACACACACAUGUAUCUCAAUAAGAUCUACGAAAAAGUAAAUGCGCGCAUAUCUGUCAAAUGUACGGUUAAAGGGUUAUUCCGCAUUUUUUGCCGAUCCGCACACAUUGGAAUUUCGCUAAGUCCUCCGAAGGCUUUCGUUCCACCGGCACCACAUUUGCUCAGGCCAAUCUACACCCCAUGGCCAUUAAAAGUUAUUCAAAUCAUGACGCUGCACCCCACGGUUUAGGUUCUAGGGGGCGCCAAAGAUAACCCUAAAAUCCACAUAUUUAAAAGUCUUAUAACUUUUUAUUUUUGUCCUCACUGGCCUCCAUGUUUUCUAGGAUGAUGCAAUGUCCAGCCAUCAACACAUUUGUGAAGGAGUUUUUUCUCGUUAAAAGAGCGCCCCCCCAUGGCAGGAGAAUAAAGUCAAGUUUUUCCUGUUCAUCAUUCAAUGGCUCAAACGCACUGCUCUCUCGGCAAAAGCGAAAGGAGGAGCAACUUGCCAUUUGGAUAUAUCUUAGCUGUGUUUGUGCCCUCACUCAUGGUCCAGACUUUUUUCAAAUAGGACAUGGAGUUUUUCUGCAGCGAGCGUUUUGGUAGAAACUGCGCCUCCCGUUCAUUAUAAUGGUAAAUGACCACAAACAAGUGCGCACACAAUCUUUGGACCUUGAGUGUGACGCGAUCGGGUGGGGGAGGCGGUCGCGCUGGGGGCGGCGUGACACGGCUCGGGCCCGCCAGUGCCCCAACGGGGCCCUAGUUAGGGCCCGAGCGUAGCUGCUAAGCAGCUGCGAGAGCCCUCUUGUUCCUGUAGUUUCCUUCUUUUGUUAUUAUUAUUAUUAUUAGGGCCCGAGCGUAGCUGCUAAGCAGCUGCGAGAGCCCUAUUAUUCCCCAAGUGGUUUUUCUUUGUUUCUUUCUUUCUUCUUUUUCCUCCCCUUUGAACUGGAAAAUGGCCCACUUCCCACUGGCGAAAACUCAUGAAAUUUGGCAGGAUGACCGGGCCUGGUGAAAAAUUUGAUAUUCCGAAGUCGCCCAAACAAGAAAAUGCAAAAUGGCUCCAUAGCGCCCCCUAAGGUGAAAAUUCACACUAUUGACUGUCACGCCUUUACGCUUUGUCAAAAUGACACAAAAAUUGACACACAUAUGUAUCUCAAUAAGAUCUACAAAAAAGUCAGUGCGGGCGUAUCUGUCAAAUGUACGGUUAAAGGGUUAUUUCGCAUUUUUUGCAGAUCCGCACACAUUGGAAUUUCGCUAACUCCUCCGAAGGCUUUCUUUCCACCGGCACCACAUUUGCUCAGGCCAAUCUACACCCCAUGGCCAUUAAAAGUUAUUCAAAUCAUGACGCUGCACCCCACGGUUUAGGUUCUAGGGGGCGCCAAAGAUAACCCUAAAAUCCACAUAUUUAAAAGUCUUAUAACUUUUUAUUUUUACCCUCACUGGCCUCCAAGUUUUCUAGGAUGAUGCAAUGUCCAGCCAUCAACACAUUUGUGAAGGAUUUUUUACUCCCCAAAAGAGCGCCCCCCCAUGGCCGGAGAAAAAAGUCCAUUUUUUCUUGUCCCCUAAGGUGAAAAUACACAUUGUUGAGUGUCACGCCUGUACGCUUUGUCAUAUUGACACAAAAUUUGACACACACAUGUAUCUCAAUAAGAUCUACGAAAAAGUCAAUGCGCGCGUAUCUGUCAAAUGUACGGUUAAAGGGUUAUUCUGCAUUUUUUGCUGAUCCGCACACAUUGGAAUUUCGCUAACUCCUCCUAAGGCUGGCGUUCCACCGGCACCACAUUUGCUCAGGCCAAUCUACACCCCAUGGCCAUUAAAAGUUAUUCAAAUCAUGACGCUGCACCCCACGGUUUAGGUUCUAGGGGGCGCCAAAGAUAACCCUAAAAUCCACAUAUUUCAAAGUCUUAUAACUUUUUAUUUUUGUCCUCACUGGCCUCCAAGUUUUCUAGGAUGAUGCAAUGUCCAGCCAUCAACACAUUUGUGAAGGAAUUUUUACUCCCUAAAAGAGCGCCCCCCCAUGGCAGGAGAAAAAAGUCAAUUUUUUCUUGUCCCGUAAGGUGAAAAUUCACAUUGUUGAGUGUGACACCUGUACGCUUUGUCAUAUUGACACAAAAUUUGACAAUCACGUGUAUCUCAAUAAGAUCUACGAAAAAGUCAAUGGGUGCGUAUCUGUCAAAUGUACGGUUAGAGGGCUAUUUUGCAUUUUUUGCCGAUUCGCACACAUUGGAAUGUGGCUAACUCCUCCUAAGGCUUUCGUCCCACUGAAACCAAAUUUGCUCAGGCCAAUCUACACCCCAUGGCCAUUCAAAGUUGUAAAAAUCAUGACGCUGCACCCCACGGUUUACGUUCUAGGGGGCGCCAAAGAUGACCAAAAAAUCCACAUUCUUAAAAGAAUCCACAUUCUCCCCCCCCCAUGGCAGGAGAAAAAGUCAAGUUUUUCCUGCCCAUCGCUCAAUGGCUCAAUCGCAUCGCUCUCCAGGCAACACCGUAUCCAGGAGCAACCUGCCAUUUGGAUAUAUCCCAGCUGUGUUUGUGCCCUCACUCAUGGUCCAGACUUUUUUCAAAUAGGACAUGAAGUUUGUCUGCAGCGAGUGUUUUGGUAGAAACUGCGCCUCCCAUUCAUUAUAAUGGGAAAUGACCACAGACAAGUGCGCACACCAUCUUUGGACCUUGAGUGUGACGCGAUCGGGAGGGGGAGGCGGUCGCGCUGGGGGCGGCACAACGCGGCUCGGGCCCGACAGUGCCCCACCGGGGCCCUAGUCUUUGUUUCUUUCUUUCUUUUUUCUUUUUCCUCCCCUUUGAACUGGAAAAUGGCCCACUUCCCACUGGCGAAAACUCAUGAAAUUUGGCAGGACGACCGGGCCUGG